rnacentral:rRNA from 1 species
AGGACGAACGCUGGCGGCGUGCUUAACACAUGCAAGUCGAGCGGUAAGGCCUUUCGGGGUACACGAGCGGCGAACGGGUGAGUAACACGUGGGUGAUCUGCCCUGCACUCUGGGAUAAGCCUGGGAAACUGGGUCUAAUACCGGAUAUGACCUGCUCUCGCAUGGGGGUGGGUGGAAAGAUUUAUCGGUGCAGGAUGGGCCCGCGGCCUAUCAGCUUGUUGGUGGGGUAAUGGCCUACCAAGGCGACGACGGGUAGCCGACCUGAGAGGGUGACCGGCCACACUGGGACUGAGACACGGCCCAGACUCCUACGGGAGGCAGCAGUGGGAAUAUUGCAACAAUGGGA